GAAAAAGCGAAAACGCUUUACCGCGCAGACAAUUCGGCGUUGAGCACGCUCCACAAAGAAGAAAGCAAGCAAUCUGCACACACGGACAUCCGCCUCUACCCAAAGCCGAAUACUUGGCCGCCUUGGCGAGGGUGGGGCUGUCUUCCUAACGCGUACGCAUACAGAUGCAUACGCACGCACGCAUACACAUACACACACACACACCGGCAUCGGCAGUCCAGUUUGUCUACCUUUGCCCGCUGUGCCAUCACUGCGAGGCUCGCCGCCGCCAUCCCUCGCCGUAUUUCUUGUCUAUACCCUUUUGCACCGGAGCAUAGGAGGAGGCUCACGGAAGAAGCAGCGGCGGCUUGCAUUCUGUUGAGAAAUACCGGUGAGGCCGCAACGGAAAGUGGUGGCGGGGGGUGGGGCAGCCGAGAAAGCGAGAGAAAGAAGGGUGGCACUUUCCCUGUGUGUUUGUGCGUGCGUGUUUGGUGGGUGUGGCUGUUAGCGGCCUCUCGUCGUGUGAGUGUCGAGGCAAAGCAGUCCCCUGCCCACCACCACCACUAGCCAUUGUUCGCCGGCUUGCUAUCCCUCUGUUUCUGUCCCUCUUAAGCACCGCCACUUUCGAGCUGCGACAAGCGUCGAAAAGUCGCACUCUCUUUCCUUUUUGGUUUACUGCUCCGCUCGCCAUCUCCCCUACGCCUCCUUUCUAUCCGUUCCCUUCGCCCCCCCCCCUCCCUCCCUCGUGUGUGUGUCUUGUCGUCAUCCUUUUCGUGUUUUGUUUUGUGUUGCCUUGCUCGCGUCGCCCUGGUUGUGCUCGCCCCACCCACCCACCCACCCACCCCCCCGCGCCCCUCUUCCCUCUUCACGGCUAGCCGACCGUGCAUCAUCACCACGCUCCCUUCCAGUUUGUUCGUGACCUUCGCCAGUGCCUUUCCCUUGCGUUGUUUUGUUUUAUUUUUUUUUUUUUGGACUCACCCCGCAUGCGCGCUCUCUUCAUCCCUCCCUUCCUCUCCUUCCUUCCUGUGCUGCUUUCUCCCUCUUGUGUGAGGGCCAAUACUCUACUGCCUCCACCACCACUACCACUCAAAACCUCGCAUUGGUGUGUCUGUCCGUCUUUGUCUGUAUGCUGUUGCGUCUGUCUGUCUGUCGUACGACCUGAUCACGCUCCCUUCCCGUCCCUGAGCACCCACCCACACACGCACACACGCAGCGACACAGGCAGGCCUUCGCCCUGUUGUAUACACAUAGAUAGGGCUACUUUUUCUUUGUGUGGUUGAUUGAUUCGUAGCCUUACGCACUUGGCUCACAUACCAUCCCGGUCCUCCCCCUCGUCCCUCUCUUUCCCUCCGCGCGCGUGUGCGUGCUGGUGUUUUUUUUUUUUUUCUGAAUCCUUCUCGUUGCUUCGCUCUUUGGCUCACUGUCGUGUAUCACCUCCCUUCAUUUUCGGCUUCUACCCCUGCUCCCUCUCCUUGUGUCUUUACCAGUGUCCCUCUCUUUCCCUCCGCGUGCGUGUGUGUGUGUGUGUGUGUUGGAGGCGCGGUCGCACGCUAUGUAUUCUCUUUAUCGUUGCCAGCACACACACCACCUAAAUCAAAGUGACUUGAGCACACCGUCACCGCAGCUCCCCUUUUUUUCUCGUUCUUCGGAUUUGUUUGUCUGUCGCAGUACUUGUCUCAUCACCCCCCCCCUCGCCGAUGCCGCACCCCCCACACACACACACACCGCCCUCUCCGCCCUCUCGUCCUCGCUGCGUUGUGUGUUUCCCUCUGUUGCUUCCGCGGUGAACUCUGCAUACGUUUCUUGUGGGCGCUCUGUGCUUCGCUCUCUCGUGACUUGGAUUCUUCUUUCUUGCUUUUUUGGUUUUCCUCGCCGUCAUCGGCCUUGCUCGUAUCAUCCGCCUUUGAGGGGCGCACCUCUAGCGACCAUCUGCGCCGGCGCAAGUGUCGCGCCGUCUCCCUCCUCUUCUCCUCCCCUUGUGCUGUGUCCGGCGCAUACCCACGCAUAAUCGGGGCAACAAAGUAGGGUUACCCAGGUGCAGGCAAUACGGGACCGCCGGCUGUUCAUUUCUCUUUCUGCGCGCGCGCGGGUGUGGUUACGAGCAUCCGUCAGCUCAUCGGUCAUCGACUGCGGAGAGAAAACCGCCUUGACGUCUAGACGCUGUGCGAGAGGGAGAGGUCGUCUCCACAGCAAUAAGAAGGAAGCAGCGUUGGCAUCACCUUUUCGCGCACGUACACGACGCACCAUUUCUUCAUACACACACGCACAAGCGUACAGCUCGUGAAGGGGGAGGGAAGUCUCGACCCAACACCGCGUCCGUCUUGGAGCGCAAGCAGAGCGUAACGAAGGGGAAAAAAGAGGGUGAGAAAGGGCGCUUCCUUGCGCUGUAGAGCAUACGCGCACCCUCGCCUCUCUCCGUCUUUUUUGGAGCAGACCCUCUGCGCUGCUGUGUGGGUGUGUGGCUGGGUAGCUGGCUGGGUAGGUGGGGGCGUCUUCCUCUUGUUGUUGCGGUUGAUUUUUGUUUUUUUUUUUGGGGGGGGGGGGGGGUGUUCGUUCUUCCUCGUCCUAUAAAAAGUAAGAGUGCAGCGCGGCCCUCUUUUUUUUGUCGUUCCUGUUGUCGUAUACACUGAAAGGCCACGUGGGUCUUCGCCAGCAGACGGAAUCACGCGUGCACAAGGAAGCCCCCCAGGUACUCCUCCUUCUCCCCCCUCCCCUCCCCUUCCCGCAGCCUCUCUCGCAUACGCUGCACAGUCACGCAUCGGCCUAUAGGAGCGAAGUGUUUGCAUCCAGAGGAAAAGAGAAGUCGUUCUCGCGGUAAUAACCCUUCUCACAUUUGCGAUCUCCCCUCUGCACGUGCUGUGUUCCCAUCUCAGUCAUGGAGAGCUACUCAGUGAAGGUGGGCUCUUCAUCGCAGUCGCCAGAGGGCAGCGCGGCUGGGGCCGCAGCGGAGACGCUCACAUCGCCGACAGUUGGGCAAGCAGUGAUAAGCAGCAACUGCAGCACAACUCAAGCCGGCAACUUUCCUCACCUGGUGCGCAAGAACUUGGCACACGUGGCAGCCGUGG
rnacentral:misc_RNA from 1 species